GAAUAAACCUGAUGUGGUUGUUGCUGGCUCUCUCGGGAGCACGUGCACGCCCGUCAUCUUUAUAUUUCCACCUGUGCACCCUUUGUAGACUUGGAGCAGAAGAGGCGGAGAGCAAUCUCUGUCUCGGAAACCUCUGGGUUUACGUUUAUCAUAUACCCCAUAGUAUGUAAUAGAAUGUAUCAAUGGGCUUCGUGCCUAUAAACUAUAUACAACUUUCAGCAACGGAUCUCUUGGCUCU
rnacentral:misc_RNA from 1 species